UCUGGUAAUGAUGGCAGAGAGGUCACACCCGUUCCCAUACCGAACACGGAAGUUAAGCUCUCUAGCGCCAAUGGUAGUUGGGACCUUGUCCCUGCGAGAGUAGGACGUUGCCAGGC
rnacentral:rRNA from 17 species